rnacentral:siRNA from 1 species
GAUAACUCAGUGUCCAGACCACA